AUACGGAGGAUGCGAGCGUUAUCCGGAUUUAUUGGGUUUAAAGGGAGCGUAGGCGGACGCUUAAGUCAGUUGUGAAAGUUUGCGGCUCAACCGUAAAAUUGCAGUUGAUACUGGGUGUCUUGAGUACAGUAGAGGCAGGCGGAAUUCGUGGUGUAGCGGUGAAAUGCUUAGAUAUCACGAAGAACUCCGAUUGCGAAGGCAGCCUGCUGGACUGUAACUGACGCUGAUGCUCGAAAGUGUGGGUAUCAAACAGGAUUAGAUACCCUGGUAGUCCACACAGUAAACGAUGAAUACUCGCUGUUUGCGAUAUACAGUAAGCGGCCAAGCGAAAGCGUUAAGUAUUCCACCUGGGGAGUACGCCGGCAACGGUGAAACUCAAAUGAAUUGACGGGG
rnacentral:rRNA from 1 species